rnacentral:rRNA from 1 species
AACGAACGCUGGCGGCAUGCCUAAUACAUGCAAGUCGAACGAGAUCUUCGGAUCUAGUGGCGCACGGGUGCGUAACGCGUGGGAAUCUGCCCUUGGGUUCGGAAUAACUUCUGGAAACGGAAGCUAAUACCGGAUGAUGACGUAAGUCCAAAGAUUUAUCGCCCAAGGAUGAGCCCGCGUAGGAUUAGCUAGUUGGUGGGGUAAAGGCCCACCAAGGCGACGAUCCUUAGCUGGUCUGAGAGGAUGAUCCGCCACACUGGGACUGAGACACGGCCCAGACUCCUACGGGAGGCAGCAGUAGGGAAUAUUGGACAAUGGGCGAAAGCCUGAUCCAGCAAUGCCGCGUGAGUGAUGAAGGCCUUAGGGUUGUAAAGCUCUUUUACCCGGGAUGAUAAUGACAGUACCGGGAGAAUAAGCUCCGGCUAACUCCGUG